CAACCCUCAGGUCCCGCGCCUGGUGUUGGGGCCCUGCGCGGCAGGCCCCGAAAGACAGCGGCGGGUGCGUCCCGGAACCGAACGCAGUAGCUAUACCUCGUUCCGGCCCGGUGGCGUACGCCAGCCGUAAAACGCUCUCCAGCUUUUUACCAAAG
rnacentral:misc_RNA from 1 species